rnacentral:rRNA from 1 species
UACAUAGGGCGCAAGCGUUGUCCGGAAUUAUUGGGCGUAAAGAGCUCGUAGGCGGUCUGUCGCGUCUGGUGUGAAAUCCCAUGGCUCAACUGUGGGCUUGCAUCGGGUACGGGCAGACUAGAGUGCUGUAGGGGAGACUGGAAUUCCUGGUGUAGCGGUGGAAUGCGCAGAUAUCAGGAGGAACACCGAUGGCGAAGGCAGGUCUCUGGGCAUUAACUGACGCUGAGGAGCGAA